UUUAAUUUGUGCUAAUUUUAAUCUUUUUUUAAAAUAAUGCAGCAGUUUUAGCAUUUUCUGUGUGCACGUUAUUUUAGAACUGACUGGAUUGAGAUGGUGUAUGUUAGUGCUAGCAUUAUAGAUUUUGUAAUUUGGCGAAAGUAACGUUAUCUUUAUUCGGGUUCCCUAUCACUUAAGACCGUUUAUAUCUUUCAUCCAGUAACUAACGUUACGGGUUAACUUCGUUCUGGUGUUUUGAAAUGUCAUGCAAACGAGAAAGCAGCCGUUUAGCCGAGUUAGCUAUUGAAAUCAUAUUUUCUUGUGUAACUUAGCGCCCUGGGGCUCGAGCACCGACGGAUUCGGCCGAGCACCGACGGAAACGGCGUGUCUAAGAGACGAAAAUGGACCUUAAAAAAUAAAAACUAAGAAUAAACAUGCUAACUUUCGUUAACGAGACGAGACGAAAAUGUUGGUGGUGACGAAGUCACAAUACUAUUAUUAUUUUGUUUUAAUCGCGUACGUUAUUACGGCGGUCCGUAACUGCGGUUAUUAACGUCUCACGAUGACGUCAUCCACGGACCGCUCGGUCACUGUGGGGUCCCGGUGGUUCUUGUCACCGAUACGGACCGCGACACUAUGUUACGCUUUGGUUGGACAGUAAAGGCAAGAACACAAUACAUGGACACUAGAAAAUAUAUAAAACUCAAAGAGCCAUGCUUUUUGGAGUUUGUCACUGAAGCAAAAAAAGCAUUUGCCAUUCGAGAACAGACACCUGUUAAGGUAACAGAUGACACCUCUACAGAAGUGGACGAGGAUGUAUUUCCUGAACUUGUUGCUGAAAGGGGCAUUUGCUUUAGUUUACAUACUAAUAAUGAUUCCACUUCUGCACAUAAGUUGUCCCCUCUUCUGACUGAUGGGAACUCUGUCAGCAAGACUUCAACCUUUACUGAAUGCAAUAAAGGCAACAAAACGUCUGCAUUUCAUUCCAAAAGACCCAGGUUGGAUGAUUCCAAGCUUGCAAAAGAGACCAUUGAAGACAUCCUAAAGUGCAAACCUGGUGGUGUAGAAGUCAUGCAGCACUAUAAAGACACUGGUAAUCUCUCAACCUCCAAAAGAAAGGAGAUGAUUAAUAUAUUGGUUGCACACAUGACUGAACAAGAAGGAUACAUCAAGACUUUGCUUUGAUGUUUGGCCUGGAAACAGCCUCCAGAUUUUUAGAGAAGUGGAAUACCUCCUUCAAGCAAAAUGUGAUUAAGGAGGCAAAAACUCUAAAUCCAUCUGCAUUCCUGCUACAGCUACUGAAAUCUGCUGAAAAAAACAACGGAGACAACAGUAAUGAAGAAUGGGAUAGUGACAUAGCAUCUCUGCUUUUGCUGUUACACCUCCUUGCACCCCAACCUUCUGGAAGGAAGAGAGCAGCCAAGAUCAGUGUGAGAGAUGCUGUUGGUCGCCUCCUGAAAUUUGAAAAGUCCUGCAGAAGUUUGGAGGACCAUCUCUCAGAGGUGGAGGACAGACAGCCCUAUCUUCUGGCCACUGGACAAACCAAAGCAGAUGCACUUAAAUUCUACAUUGUGGUCGACAAGAAUCUCAUACCCUGUCAAGCAAGUACUUCACUUGGAGCUUUUGAUGAGCUUUUCAAAGCUCAUUAUGUCUUUGGUGCACAAUAUGACCCAUCUCUCAGCAACAUGUUCACCUUUAUCCAGACAACAAUCUACAAAAUCCAUCCUAGCACGUCCAGCCAAUCAUCACGCACUCGAGAGCUGAGAGCGAAACUGUUAAACAGUUCAAUGGAAAGUACAUAAUGAGAAGAUGUUUCAUUUGCAAGUCUUUGCUGGGUACAAGCAUUAAAUUGUUUCGACACCUGAAGUUAGCUCAUGGCAUGUACCCAUGGGUACAUGCCAUGAGCUAACAUACUUAGAAAAGACAACUUGAGGAUUAUUUCUUUGUUUGAUGCACAGAUCUCCUAUGGUGCUGACUCAUUUUUUUACAUAGUUGCAAAAAAUGAACUUGUUUGAAACACUCAGAUCUAUUUAUUUAGCCUGUACAAGAAUAGUAUAUUUGAUCAGAAUGAAUGUAUAUUUUAUAUAUAUAUAUUUUUGACCAUUGAUGAGUUAAAGAUGACAUAAAAAUGUUGUAUUUUCAAUUGAUGUUAUUGCAGUGUAUGUUUACUUAGAAAAUUUGAGUCAAUUUCUAUUGAAAAUGUCAGCAGAUUGUUUGAUAAAGUAUAUAGACAUGUACAGAUGUCCUAUCGUGCUGACGAAUUUCUCAUUUUUUUACAAAAAUGUAUAUUUUCACACUAUUAAGAUGCUAUUGCAUUGGAGACUGCAUUGUUUUAUUCAAUUGUAUGUCAUUAAAAU